ACUCCUACGGGAGGCAGCAGUGGGGAAUAUUGCACAAUGGGCGCAAGCCUGAUGCAGCGACGCCGCGUGAGGGAUGACGGCCUUCGGGUUGUAAACCUCUUUCAGUAUCGACGAAGCGCAAGUGACGGUAGGUACAGAAGAAGCACCGGCCAACUACGUGCCAGCAGCCGCGGUAAUACGUAGGGUGCGAGCGUUGUCCGGAAUUACUGGGCGUAAAGAGCUCGUAGGUGGUUUGUCGCGUUGUUCGUGAAAACUCACAGCUCAACUGUGGGCGUGCGGGCGAUACGGGCAGACUGGAGUACUGCAGGGGAGACUGGAAUUCCUGGUGUAGCGGUGGAAUGCGCAGAUAUCAGGAGGAACACCGGUGGCGAAGGCGGGUCUCUGGGCAGUAACUGACGCUGAGGAGCGAAAGCGUGGGGAGCGAACAGGAUUAGAUACCCUGGUAGUCCACGCCGUAAACGGUGGGUACUAGGUGUGGGUUUCCUUCCUUGGGAUCCGUGCCGUAGCUAACGCAUUAAGUACCCCGCCUGGGGAGUACGGCCGCAAGGCUAAAACUCAAAGAAAUUGACGGGGGCCCGCACAAGCGGCGGAGCAUGUGGAUUAAUUCGAUGCAACGCGAAGAACCUUACCUGGGUUUGACAUGCACAGGACGUGCCUAGAGAUAGGUAUUCCCUGUGGCCUGUGUGCAGGUGGUGCAUGGCUGUCGUCAGCUCGUGUCGUGAGAUGUUGGGUUAAGUCCCGCAACGAGCGCAACCCUUGUCUCAUGUUGCCAGCACGUAAUGGUGGGGACUCGUGAGAGACUGCCGGGGUCAACUCGGA
rnacentral:rRNA from 1 species